GACGAACGCUGGCGGCGUGCUUAACACAUGCAAGUCGAACGGAAAGGCCCUGCUUUUGUGGGGUGCUCGAGUGGCGAACGGGUGAGUAACACGUGAGUAACCUGCCCUUGACUUUGGGAUAACUUCAGGAAACUGGGGCUAAUACCGGAUAGGAGCUCCUGCUGCAUGGUGGGGGUUGGAAAGUUUCGGCGGUUGGGGAUGGACUCGCGGCUUAUCAGCUUGUUGGUGGGGUAGUGGCUUACCAAGGCUUUGACGGGUAGCCGGCCUGAGAGGGUGACCGGCCACAUUGGGACUGAGAUACGGCCCAGACUCCUACGGGAGGCAGCAGGGGGGAAUAUUGCACAAUGGGCGGAAGCCUGAUGCAGCAACGCCGCGUGCGGGAUGACGGCCUUCGGGUUGUAAACCGCUUUCGCCUGUGACGAAGCGUGAGUGACGGUAAUGGGUAAAGAAGCACCGGCUAACUACGUGC
rnacentral:rRNA from 1 species